rnacentral:rRNA from 1 species
GAUGAACGCUAGCGGCAGGCCUAACACAUGCAAGUCGAGCGAGAAGCCCUUGCGUGGGCAGAAACCGGCGCACGGGAGCGUAAGGCGUAUGCAAGCUACCUUUCACCUGGGGAUAGGCCGAAGAAAUUGGGAUUAAUACCCCAUAAUAUUAGUAGAUGGCAUCAUUUGAUAAUUAAAACUGCGGUGGGGAAGGAUGGGCAUGCGUCCGAUUAGCUAGGUGGGGUGGUAAGGGCACGCCAAGGCUACGCUAGGUAGGGUUCCUGCGAGGGGGAGCCCUCACAGGGGGACUGAGCAAGGGACCAGACACAUACGGCCGGCAGCAGUGAGGAAGAUAGCUGAAGGGACGAAAGCCUGAUCCAGCCAUGCCGCGUGCAGCAAGGAUGCCUGAGGGGUGGUAGACUGCUUUUAUAUGGGCGGAAUAGGGCGUAAGGGUACGUUGAUGACGGUACCAUAUAAAUAAGCACCGGCUAACUACGUG